rnacentral:rRNA from 1 species
AUUGAACGCUGGCGGCAUGCCUUACACAUGCAAGUCGAACGGUAACAGGUUAAGCUGACGAGUGGCGAACGGGUGAGUAAUAUAUCGGAACGUGCCCAGUCGUGGGGGAUAACGUAGCGAAAGCUACGCUAAUACCGCAUACGAUCUACGGAUGAGAGCGGGGGAUCGCAAGACCUCGCGCGAUUGGAGCGGCCGAUAUCAGAUUAGGUUGUUGGGGAGGUAAAAGCUCACCAAGCCUGCGAUCUGUAGCUGGUCUGAGAGGACGACCAGCCACACUGGAACUGGGACACGGUCCAGACUCCUACGGGAGGCAGCAGUGGGGAAUUUUGGACAAUGGACGCAAGUCUGAUCCAGCAAUGCCGCGUGCAGGACGAAGGCCUUCGGGUUGUAAACUGCUUUUGUACGGAACGAAACGGUGAGCUCUAAUACAGUUUGCUAAUGACGGUACCGUAAGAAUAAGCACCGGCUAACUACGUGCCAGCCGCCGCCGUAA